rnacentral:rRNA from 1 species
GGACAAUGGGCGCAAGCCUGAUCCAGCCAUGCCGCGUGCGUGAAGAAGGCCUUCGGGUUGGAAAACUCUUUUUGUCGGGAAGAAAACGCCGGGACGUGUACCGGGUUGACGGGACCGUACCAAUAAAGAACGCCCCGCUCCACGCCAGGCGCCGCGGCAAUACAAUACA